rnacentral:lncRNA from 1 species
CCAACUCAUCUUAUGUUGUAUCGCCCGUUGAGGCAUUGAUGAGAUCCCCCAGAGGGAUCAUGAUUAUGGUCAUGUCUAUGUACAUGUAUGUUCAGGUUGAGUUGGUGUAUGAGAAAUGUUGAAAGAAAAGUUUUAAAUUUUUAUGUAUGAUUGUUGAUCAUGUAUGGGAUUAAACAGGUUUACAGGACGUAUGUUUGGCUUGCUACGGGUCCCGGCGGCCUUAAGUCGACCCGGAUCCUAGCGCCGGUAGCGGUCCGA